rnacentral:rRNA from 1 species
UACGAACUGUGCAAACGUUAUUCGGAUUCACUGGGCUUAAAGGGUGCGUAGGCGGCCAUGUAAGUAGGGUGUGAAAUCCCCCGGCUUAACCGGGGAACUGCGCCCUAAACUGUAUGGCUGGAGUGAGAUAGGGGUGUGUGGAACUUCCGGUGGAGCGGUGAAAUGUGUUGAUAUCGGAAGGAACGCCGGUGGCGAAGCGACACACUGGGUCUCAACUGACGCUGAGGCACGGAAAGCCAGGGAGCGAACGGG